AGAACGAACGCUGGCGGCAGGCCUAACACAUGCAAGUCGAACGCCGUAGCAAUACGGAGUGGCAGACGGGUGAGUAACGCGUGGGAACAUACCCUUCGGUUCGGAAUAACUCAGGGAAACUUGAGCUAAUACCGGAUACGUCCGAGGUUUUAAUCGACCUUGGAGAAAGAUUUAUCGCCGGAGGAUUGGCCCGCGUCUGAUUAGCUUGUUGGUGAGGUAAUGGCUCACCAAGGCGACGAUCAGUAGCUGGUCUGAGAGGAUGAUCAGCCACAUUGGGACUGAGACACGGCCCAAACUCCUACGGGAGGCAGCAGUGGGGAAUAUUGGACAAUGGGCGAAAGCCUGAUCCAGCCAUGCCGCGUGAGUGAUGAAGGCCUUAGGGUUGUAAGCUCUUUACCGGAAGAUAAUGACGGUACCGGAGAAGUAAGCCCGGCUAACUUCGUGCCAGCAGCCGC
rnacentral:rRNA from 1 species